GCCACGGCUCCCUGCGCCCCCGAUCGGGGCCGCCAACAGCGCUGGUGGCGGCGGCGGAGGCGGGGGCAGUGGC
ensembl:miRNA Mir3960 microRNA 3960